rnacentral:tRNA from 1 species
UCCCUUGUGGCUCAGCUGGUAAAGAAUCUGCCUGCAAUAUGGAAGACCUGGGUUCAAUUCCUGGCUUGGGAA